CAAUCAGAUCUCUUCUAGUCAAACUCUGAAUCAACCAGUUUCCUGUCUGUUAAAUCAGAUUUAAUAGAAAAAGCAUCUGAUUAUUAAAAUAUUCUGUUAUUAAAACUCAUCCAUCUUCAUUUGUCUCCACAGAACCGUUUCCAGUCUGGGCCAUAGUUCUACUGGUUCUACUGGUUCUGGCUCUGGUUGCUGCUGCAGGAGUUUCUGUUUAUUUCUGGUUCCGCUGGAAACCAGUCCAACAGGUGAAGGUGAAAUCAGGGGUGGAGUCUGUCCUGCUGCCCUUAAAGGUCCCACAUCGCCUGUGGUUCUGUAAAUACAGAAUCUUCCUGUCUGUGGAUAAAGUGGAGUGGAGGGACGGAGACAACAGGACAGUCCAUGUGUAUCAGAACGGUUCUGAUCAGCCUGGACAACAGGACAAGAUCUACAGAACCAGAACCAAGAUGGAUGAAAACCUGCUGAAGACUAAAAACCUCAGUCUGACUCUGAGACAGCCCACAUAUGGAGACAGAGGGAUCUUCACCUGCAGAGUCUACAGCAGGAAGGGACACGUCCUGAUGAAGAAACGAGUUAAGCUAAAGGUCAAAGCAGGGACAGACCAGGUCCAACCAGAGGACAUCAGGAUGUCACUGAUGGCUCAAUCAGUCUGAUCAGGUUGAUCAUCUCUGAUCAUUGAUCCAGUCAGACUUUGGAUCAGAGCCGAUCUCAGUGAAGGUUCUGAUGGACCAACAGAGACACUUCCUGGUCCUCUGGUCCAGUCUGCAGCC